rnacentral:rRNA from 1 species
AGAUUCACAUGGAACAGGGGUCAAAGGAGCAAUCCGGUAAGGGGUGGGCUCGCGUCCGAUUAGAUAGUUGGUGAGGUAACGGCCCACCAAGUCGACGAUCGGUAGCCGACCUGAGAGGGUGAUCGGCCACAUUGGGACUGAGACACGGCCCAAACUCCUACGGGAGGCAGCAGUGGGGAAUAUUGGGCAAUGGGGGAAACCCUGACCCAGCAACGCCGCGUGAGGGAAGAAGGUUUUCGGAUCGUAAACCUCUGUCCUUGGUGAAGAGAAAGAGACGGUAGCCAAGGAGGAAGCCCCGGCUAACUACGUGCCAGCAGCCGCGGUAAUACGUAGGGGGCGAGCGUUGUCCGGAAUGAUUGGGCGUAAAGGGCGCGUAGGCGGCCCGGUAAGUCUGAAGUGAAAGUCCUGGUUUUAAGCUGGGAAUUGCUUUGGAUACUGUCGGGCUUGAGUGCAGGAGAGGUAAGUGGAAUUCCCAGUGUAGCGGUGAAAUGCGUAGAGAUUGGGAGGAACACCAGUGGGCGAARGCGACUUACUGGACUGUAACUGACGCUGAGGCGCGAAAGUGUGGGGAGCAAACAGGAUUAGAUACCCUGGUAGUCCACACUGUAAACGAUGAAUGCUAGGUGUAGGGGGUAUCGACCCCUUCUGUGCCGCAGUCAACACAAUAAGCAUUCCGCCUGGGGAGUACGGCCGCAAGGUUGAAACUCAAAGGAAUUGACGGGGGCCCGCACAAGCAGCGGAGCAUGUGGUUUAAUUCGACGCAACGCGAAGAACCUUACCAGGUCUUGACAUCCAGUAAAGCCCAUAGAGAUAUGGAGUGUGCUUGCACAUACUGAGACAGGUGGUGCAUGGUUGUCGUCAGCUCGUGUCGUGAGAUGUUGGGUUAAGUCCCGCAACGAGCGCAACCCUUAUUUUCAGUUACUAACAGGUAAAGCUGAGGACUCUGAAGAGACUGCCGGGGACAACUCGGAGGAAGGUGGGGACGACGUCAAAUCAUCAUGCCCCUUAUGACCUGGGCUACACACGUGCUACAAUGGCCACCACAGAGAGGAGCGAACCUGUAAGGGGGAGCGGAUCUCAAAAAAGUGGUCCCAGUUCGGAUUGUGGGCUGCAACCCGCCCACAUGAAGUCGGAGUUGCUAGUAAUCGCGGUUCAGCAUGCCGCG